UGGAGCCUACGGGGCGCAGCAGUGAGGAAUAUUGGUCAAUGGGCGGAAGCCUGAACCAGCCAAGUCGCGUGAGGGAAUAAGGCCCUACGGGUCGUAAACCUCUUUUGCCGGGGAGCAAGGGCGGGGACGUGUCCCGGCCCGGAGAGUACCCGGAGAAAAAGCAUCGGCUAACUCCGUGCCAGCAGCCGCGGUAAUACGGAGGAUGCGCGCGUUAUCCGGAUUUGUUGGGUUUAAAGGGUGCGUAGGCGGGCUUUUAAGUCAGCGGUAAAAAUUCGGGGCCCAACCCCGUCCGGACGUUGAAACUG
rnacentral:rRNA from 1 species